rnacentral:rRNA from 1 species
GAUGGCUUUUAGACGUUCUGGGAUGGACCUUCCUUCUUUCAGACCCGUUCUUUGUGUGCUCCCCAUAUUGGCUGAUGCAAAUUAACACGCUCCCGGUAAAACGGGAGGGCCCGCCGGAGGACCCCUAAACUCUGUUUCUAUAUGUAACUUCUGAGUAAAACCAUAAAGAAAUCAAAACUUUCAACAGGAGAUCUUUUGGUUCUGGCAUCUAUGAAUAACGGGCCAAAAUGCCAUAAAUAAUGUGAAUUGCAGAAUUCAGUGAAUCAUCGAAUCUUUGAACGCACAUUGCGCCCGCCAGUAUUCUGGCGGGCAUGCAUGUUCGAGCGUAAUUUCAACCCUCAUGCCCCCGGGUUUGGUGUUGGGGAUCGGCGAGCCCUCGGGGCAAGCCGGCCCCGAAAUCUAGUGGCGGUCUCACUGCAGCUUCCAUUGCGUAGUAGUAAAACCCUCUCAACUGGUACGCGGCGCGGCCAAGCCGUUAAACCCCCAACUUCUGAAUGUUGACCUCGGAUCAGGUAGGAAUACCCGCUAAACUUAAGCAUAUCAUUAAGCGGAGGAAAAGAAACCAACCGAGGGCGACCUGACACUUCUAAGUACCCCAAAGGAAAGUAACCAACCAUAAAAUGGUGGCGUGAACAGCGAGCAUUAGGU